UAACAGGCUGUAGUUACAGGACCAGCUGAAUGGAGAGAUGAAUGGAGAGACUGAUAACUGCCAUAAUAAUGACCCAGGGGACGUGUCGGUUUCCCUUCACCAUUCUAUCCUCGGCACGUUUGGCUCCUGUGGGAUGAAGCCUGCCUUCCGUUUCCUGUUGGCAUUGAUUCCAGAAAAGACUCAAUUAAAAGGAGUCUAAGUGGGUGAGUACGUUGACGGCAUGCUGAUCAUAUUUCGAGGCUGCCAUGGGGCUGAGAGAAGAGCUAAUAGACAGGAUGAAAGAAUAAUGAGCCAAAGCGGUGUUGACAGUCUGGGAAGCCGGGUCAAGUCAAGCAGCCUGGAGCAUAGCCCACUAAAUGCACCGGCCAGCACCUGAGUCCAAAUGAGAAGUUCUUCAAGGACAGCAGGUAACCUUCCCCCGAAUUCCAGAACAUUGUUCUGCUUGGGAUAAAGGCAAAAGCAGUCCUGGUUCACAAAGAUUAAUCUGGUGGGAUGCUUUUGGAAGCAAGGAUCAGAAAACUCGACUCACACUGGCUUGAACGGUAAGGACAUUUUUCAUCUCACAUUGCUUGAUCUAGUGGC